UACGUAGGGUGCAAGCGUUGUCCGGAAUUAUUGGCGUAAAGAGCUCGUAGGCGGUUUGUUGCGUCGGCUGUGAAAUCCCGAGGCUCAACCUCGGGUCUGCAGUCGAUACGAGCAAACUAGAGUGUUGCAGGGGAGACUGGAAUUCCUGGUGUAGCGGUGAAAUGCGUAGAUAUCGGGAGGAACACCUGUGGCGAAGGCGGCCCCCUGGUUGGAUACUGACGCUGAUACGCGAAAGCGUGGGGAGCAAACAGG
rnacentral:rRNA from 1 species